rnacentral:rRNA from 1 species
UAACCUGCCCAAGAGAUCGGGAUAACACCUGGAAACAGAUGCUAAUACCGGAUAACAACAGAUGAUGCCUAUCAACUGUUUAAAAGAUGGUUAUGCUAUCACUCUUGGAUGGACCUGCGGUGCAUUAGCUAGUUGGUAGGGUAACGGCCUACCAAGGCGAUGAUGCAUAGCCGAGUUGAGAGACUGAUCGGCCACAUUGGGACUGAGACACGGCCCAAACUCCUACGGGAGGCAGCAGUU